rnacentral:rRNA from 1 species
GUGGGGAAUUUUGGACAAUGGGCGCAAGCCUGAUCCAGCAAUGCCGCGUGCAGGAAGAAGGCCUUCGGGUUGUAAACUGCUUUUGUACGGAACGAAACGGUCCUGGUUAAUACCUGGGGCUAAUGACGGUACCGUAAGAAUAAGCACCGGCUAACUACGUGCCAGCAGCCGCGGUAAUACGUAGGGUGCGAGCGUUAAUCGGAAUUACUGGGCGUAAAGCGUGCGCAGGCGGUUUUGUAAGACAGAGGUGAAAUCCCCGGGCUCAACCUGGGAACUGCCUUUGUGACUGCAAGGCUAGAGUACGGCAGAGGGGGAUGGAAUUCCGCGUGUAGCAGUGAAAUGCGUAGAUAUGCGGAGGAACACCGAUGGCGAAGGCAAUCCCCUGGGCCUGUACUGACGCUCAUGCACGAAAGCGUGGGGAGCAAACAGGAUUAGAAACCCGUGUAGUCC